rnacentral:rRNA from 1 species
UACGAGGGGGGGCGAGCGUUUGUUCGGAAUUAUUGGGCGUAAAGGGUGCGUAGGCGGUUUGGUAAGUCUUGUGUGAAAUCUACAGGCUCAACUUGUAGUCUGCACGAGAAACUGCCGGGCUUGAGUGUGGGAGAGGUGAGUGGAAUUCCUGGUGUAGCGGUGAAAUGCGUAGAUAUCAGGAGGAACACCUGUGGUGUAGACGGCUUUCUGGACCAUCACUGACGCUGAGACACGAAAGCGUGGGUAGCAAACAGG